GACAGAGGGUGCAAACGUUGUUCGGAAUUACUGGGCGUAAAGCGCGUGUAGGCGGCUUGGCAAGUCGGGUGUAAAAGCCCGGGGCUCAACCUGGAGACGCCACGCGAUACUGGCGUGACUAGAGUUCGGUAGGGGAUCACGGAAUUCCUGGUGUAGCGGUGAAAUGCGCAGAUAUCAGGAGGAACACCGAUGGCGAAGGCAGCUCUCUGGUACGUGACUGACACUGAGACGCGAAAGCGUGGGGAGCGAACAGG
rnacentral:rRNA from 1 species